CUCUGGAGAUGAAGACAUACAAGUAUUAGAUCUACUUUGUUACCAACAAUAAAGUGCUGGAGAUGAAGACAUACAAGUAUUAGAUCUAGUCUGUUACCAACAAUAAAGUGCUCUGUGAUCAUUUCUAAUAUUUAGGCCUAUUGAAUUUAGAACCAGACGAUAGCAAAAUGGUGUGUGGAUGAAAAAUGUGUCGGAAAAGAAAAUUGAAAUAAAUAUUCAGAAGAAAUAGAUUUUAGUUUAAAUUAUGAACAAAAAAUGUGUUCAAAUUUUACUGAUUAUUCAAACUCGUACUAAAUAUUUCAGAGAGACCUCUGUCUAACUGACUGAAUGAGAAAAGCAUCAAAGCCAGAAUGCAAAGAGUUAAUAACGUACUUGAAUGUUCGACAGUUCGUCGUACGAUGACAAUGAAAGACUCCAAUGCCCCAUUCUCUUUCUUUAGGGAUAGCAUCGUAUCGAACCAAGCAUUUCUUACACCUUGAUACCUGACAUAAAAAACAAAAAUAAUGGAAUCUUGUAGCCUAUAUAUGUAAAUGUGACUAGUCUAGCCCUAGUCUACCGGACCUAUGUGAUAUACGGCUAGCCCUAGUCUACCGGACCUAUGUGAUAUACGGCUAGCCCUAGUCUACCGGACAUAUGUGAUAUACGGCUAGCCCUAGUCUACCGGACCUAUGUGAUAUACGGCUAGUCUACCGGACCUAUGUGAUAUACGGCUAGCCCUAGUCUACCGGACCUAUGUGAUAUACGGCAAGUCUACCGCACCUAUGUGAUAUACGGCUAGCCCUAGUCUACCGGACUUAUGUGAUAUACGGCUAGCCCUAGUCUACCGGACAUAUGUGAUAUACGGCUAGCCCAAGUCUACCGGACCUAUGUGAUAUACGGCUAGACUACCGGACCUAUGUGAUAUACGGCUAGACUACCGGACCUAUGUGAUAUACGGCUAGACUACCGGACCUAUGUGAUAUACGGCUAGACUACCCGACCUAUGUGAUAUACGGCUAGCCCUAGACUACCGGACCUAUGUGAUGUACUAUUAGAGCUACAUCUUUCACCUCCGAUGCUUAAGACGGAUUUAAAAACAAAAACUUGUCCAAAUAAAAACAAAAAGCAAUAUGCGGAAUUGCUGUGCGAGGAGCAGGGUCCAAGACAUCCACGCUGUUAUCAGCAGUAGACGCCUUGUCUGGCUUGGUCAUGUGCACAGAAUGCAAACAAGAUAUUCUGUAUGGCGAUCUAACAGAAGGCAGGAGAGCCGCAGGU